AAAAAAACCGAUUCCCGUACAAUCACCGAAGUUAAGCAACGUCAUUCCUGGCUAGUACCUAGAAGGGUGACCGUUUGGGAAUAUCAGCUGCUGCAA